UCAGGAUGAACGCGGGCGGCGUGCCUAAUACAUGCAAGUCGAGCGAACAGACGAGGAGCUUGCUCCUCUGACGUAGCGGCGGACGGGUGAGUAACACGUGGAUAACCUACCUAUAAGACUGGGAUAACUUCGGGAAACCGGAGCUAAUACCGGAUAAUAUAUUGAACCGCAUGGUUCAAUAGUGAAAGACGGUUUUGCUGUCACUUAUAGAUGGAUCCGCGCCGCAUUAGCUAGUUGGUAAGGUAACGGCUUACCAAGGCAACGAUGCGUAGCCGACCUGAGAGGGUGAUCGGCCACACUGGAACUGAGACACGGUCCAGACUCCUACGGGAGGCAGCAGUAGGGAAUCUUCCGCAAUGGGCGAAAGCCUGACGGAGCAACGCCGCGUGAGUGAUGAAGGUCUUCGGAUCGUAAAACUCUGUUAUUAGGGAAGAACAAAUGUGUAAGUAACUAUGCACGUCUUGACGGUACCUAAUCAGAAAGCCACGGCUAACUACGUGCCAGCAGCCGCGGUAAUACGUAGGUGGCAAGCGUUAUCCGGAAUUAUUGGGCGUAAAGCGCGCGUAGGCGGUUUUUUAAGUCUGAUGUGAAAGCCCACGGCUCAACCGUGGAGGGUCAUUGGAAACUGGAAAACUUGAGUGCAGAAGAGGAAAGUGGAAUUCCAUGUGUAGCGGUGAAAUGCGCAGAGAUAUGGAGGAACACCAGUGGCGAAGGCGACUUUCUGGUCUGUAACUGACGCUGAUGUGCGAAAGCGUGGGGAUCAAACAGGAUUAGAUACCCUGGUAGUCCACGCCGUAAACGAUGAGUGCUAAGUGUUAGGGGGUUUCCGCCCCUUAGUGCUGCAGCUAACGCAUUAAGCACUCCGCCUGGAGAACCGAGUGU
rnacentral:rRNA from 1 species